rnacentral:rRNA from 1 species
UANCACAUGCAAGUCGAGCGGCAGCGGAAAGUAGCUUGCUACUUGCCGGCGAGCGGCGGACGGGUGAGUAAUGUCUGGGAAACUGCUGAUGGAGGGGGAUAACUACUGGAAACGGUAGCUAAUACCGCAUAACGUCGCAAGACCAAAGAGGGGGACNUUCGGGCCUCUUGCCAUCAGAUGUGCCCAGAUGGGAUUAGCUAGUAGGUGGGGUAACGGCUCACCUAGGCGACGAUCCCUAGCUGGUCUGAGAGGAUGACCAGCCACACUGGAACUGAGACACGGUCCAGACUCCUACGGGAGGCAGCAGUGGGGAAUAUUGCACAAUGGGCGCAAGCCUGAUGCAGCCAUGCCGCGUGUAUGAAGAAGGCCUUCGGGUUGUAAAGUACUUUCAGCGGGGAGGAAGGUGUUGAGGUUAAUAACCUCAGCAAUUGACGUUACCCGCAGAAGAAGCACCGGCUAACUCCGUGCCAGCAGCCGCGGUAAUACGGAGGGUGCAAGCGUUAAUCGGAAUUACUGGGCGUAAAGCGCACGCAGGCGGUCUGUCAAGUCGGAUGUGAAAUCCCCGGGCUCAACCUGGGAACUGCAUUCGAAACUGGCAGGCUAGAGUCUUGUAGAGGGGGGUAGAAUUCCAGGUGUAGCGGUGAAAUGCGUAGAGAUCUGGAGGAAUACCGGUGGCGAAGGCGGCCCCCUGGACAAAGACUGACGCUCAGGUGCGAAAGCGUGGGGAGCAAACAGGAUUAGAUACCCUGGUAGUCCACGCCGUAAACGAUGUCGACUUGGAGGUUGUGCCCUUGAGGCGUGGCUUCCGGAGCUAACGCGUUAAGUCGACCGCCUGGGGAGUACGGCCGCAAGGUUAAAACUCAAAUGAAUUGACGGGGGCCCGCACAAGCGGUGGAGCAUGUGGUUUAAUUCGAUGCAACGCGAAGAACCUUACCUACUCUUGACAUCCAGAGAACUUUCCAGAGAUGGAUUGGUGCCUUCGGGAACUCUGAGACAGGUGCU